CAAACAGUAAUCGCCUACUAAUCGGUCCGCGCUCCACGUCGGCACGUUUUGUUUGAUGAGAUUCGCCGCGUGCGACAAGGGAACUAUCGGCUGCAGAGCAAACCAUACUUUGAAUUCCACACGAGAGAAGACAACGUCAUGCAACACGAAGGACCUUUCUGUGGACAUUCCAACUCUAGCUAAAUUGUUCACCUCGCUGAUCGAUACUAUCCUACGUGGGGCUCCAAGCCUGUAGCACGCAGGCACGGAUGGAAUCACGCUAGGUGUCUGAUUGUUUAAAAAGAAAAUUUUUGUUCUUUAGAUAUCCCAGAAGGAUUUUCAGGACUGACAAAAUCAACAUUUUAAAACCCUACGAAGUCUCCUGAGAUCCAAAAGGACGUACAAAGCCGCUGACGAUGCCAUAUCAUCCAUGUACCUUGUAGUCUAAAAAGAGCUGUUCCAGCGCCGUGUGAAUGGAAAGCCAUGUUAAAAAAAAAUAAUUCAGAAACCAUCCAGAGCAAUCGGUUCAAUCUCGAGUGCAAAAAAGCACUGCAACUUAGCUACUGCUACGUACCUCCUUACGUCAUCGAAAGCAAGAUUUAGAAUUUAUGAACGAAAAUUUUGCCGUCAAGUUGCAGGAAAUUUCUUCACAGGAUAAUUGGACCGGGCUGCCUGGAAAUUUCUUCGAUGAUUUCUGACCGUGGAGACAGCAUCAAGGAAAAGAAACACUUCGCUAGGCUCCGACGACCUUCAGCAAGUUCACAGCGAUGACCUCUCGCCACUGUUCAUCGCGGAACCUGCAGUGCUCAGAGUUCAGGUUACAGUUGUGGUGUUGGAUUGGUGAUCGCCGGAGUUCAGACGAAGCGAGCUGGUGCGCGAGGGACAUAGUUUGAUAUCUGCACGGUUAAUUAAGUCAUCUACAGCAUGUGAGGGGUGCCAAAUGCAAAGAUCAAGAUUGGCAUUGGGGAUUCUGGAUUGGAUGGAACGCAGGAACAGGUGCACCGAUGAUAUUGGGAAGGAGGUGUCAUCGUUCAGAGAGGAGGGACAAACGUGACUCUUCUGGACGCCGGCUGUGAUGGACAGAGGACAUGCCAAGGGAACGUCUCGCAUGUGUUCUGGAUAUACGGUAGGCCUAGGGAUCGAUGGAGGUGGGAUGCCGAGACUGGUGUUGGAGGCUCUGGCCUGGAUGAAUCUUGAGUCGAGGGAAAGAAGGGUUGAAGGCUGCGGUACAUAAGGUUUCUGCCAGGAACAGGAAGGCGACGAGCGGGACGGCAAGCGCUACAAGCAAUGCGGACGCCGCGGUGCAAGCCAGAGUAGCGAGCUGCCUCGAAGCUCCCGGGGGCACGGCCGCCGGCGGGAUGACGUGGAGGUACACGAGGAUUACCCCCAUGAGGUAGGCCGCCGGCAGGGUGACCAGCACGACGGCGACGGCCACGUCGAGGAUGGGCCUCUGCGGGGAGAUCCCAUCGAGGAAAUCAAGGAUCGGCUUGAGGAUGCAGGAGAUGCCGAGCGUGACGGUGAGGGCGAGCUUGGCGGCGUCGGCGAGGGAAACCAUCUGGUAGGUACCGGCCCUCGGCCUCGGGACAAGAGCAGAGUCACCGGUACCAAGCUGUCACAGUAGAAACAGAGAAGAGAAGCAAGCCCGCGUCCCAAGCUGUCACGGUUAGAGCAGAGCAAAGAUGUCGGGAGAAGUGAGGCUGGAGAAGAUGGCGAGAUUACCUCGAGCUCGAUUGAUCUGCUCUCUUCGUCGAACCGCUUGCCUUUGGCCGUUCGCCGUUGUUUGGAGCAGGGGAGAGCAAAAGACGGAGAGAAGCAGAGGGCUGAGGCAAGGCAAGCGAGGCGAACGAGACGCCCUUAUGUAAUGCUCAAUUUUACUGUUACCGCGCUGCCAAUUUACCCAGGACCCUGCUAGCUUAGACCACGCCCUUAUCCCGAUUUUGAUAGCAGCUUUCUAGAGUCCGGUCCUAGAAGAGCAUAUUGAGAGGGAGAGCGAUCCAGCGGUGGACGACGUGUCCAUGAUACUACUAGGAUGUAGUUUUCUUCAGCGUAAUCACAUUAGCUAAAUUUUGCUCUCUUGAGCCAA